rnacentral:tRNA from 1 species
AGUCUUGUAGUCAAAUUAUGAUAUUAGAAUGCAAUUCUAAAGUUAUUUAGUAUUAAGAUUU